rnacentral:rRNA from 1 species
UACGAGGGGGGCAAGCGUUGUUCGGAAUUAUUGGGCGUAAAGGGUGCGUAGGCGGUUUGACAAGUCUUAUGUGAAAUCUUCGGGCUCAACCCGAAGCCUGCAUGGGAAACUGUCGGGCUUGAGUAUGGGAGAGGUGAGUGGAAUUUCCGGUGUAGCGGUGAAAUGCGUAGAUAUCGGAAGGAACACCUGUGGCGAAAGCGGCUCACUGGACCAUAACUGACGCUGAUGCACGAAAGCUAGGGGAGCAAACAG